AUCCUCCUAAUGCUUACCGCAGACAGUACACCUUAAGUGCUGGCUGUAUAGAAACAGGAGGGACAUCAAACUCUCCUUGCACAGCCGCCCCACCAGCUGUAAACUGGCGGUGCAAACCUGUAGGGUGAGACAUCC